AUUUAUAUAGUUUAAAUAAAACAUUUUAUUUUCAAUAAAAAAAUAAUAAAUUUUAUUUAUAAAUU
rnacentral:tRNA from 1 species